UUCCGGGACCAAUCUGAGCUAAAAAACAGUGAUAGUGAUUUCUGCUCUGUCCUCUCUGGGGCAGACACAUGCAGCACAUCAUGGGCACAAUUGUCAGUGCUGUUUAAAUUGUACCCUCUCUCUCUCUUAAUUGAACUUUUGUCACUGACAUGUUGUGUGCUGGGCUUCUCUGCCUAGCUUCCUAUGUGCUCUACAGGUGCAUAUCUGUCCCAUCUCUCAGUUUAUUUAUGCAGAAUCUGCUGCAUCUCUGGAAGAUUUGUUAGCUGACUGCAAACACAACAAGAGUAAGGGGAGAAGAUGUUUUCUCUCAGCCCCGAAUCCCACUCAGAGUGCACACAAGCCAUGGCACAGAGCAGGGGCCCAGAGCCUGCUUGCUAGAAGGAUCCUCUUUGUCCUUCCCCAGAGACUGGACAGAAAGCACCCCGGCCCCUUGUGGGGAUGUGUGCCGUACUCAUGGUGCAGCUCUGCAGCCUCCUCCUGAAAACACUUCCUCCAGAGUCCUGUGCUGAUGAAACAGACUUGUGAAUAUGGCUCCUGAUCCACAGGAUGCAACCUGAACCACAGAAAAUGCUGAGUUCUCCAGAGGCUGUGUUCGUGCCCUGCCUGUUUCCCUUAAGUGUUCAAUGUGUGCUGAUGGCUUCCUGCUGUGAGGGCCUGAGACUGUCCCUGGAGAGCUUCCUAAGAAACAUCAGGGUUCCCACUCAGGGCGGGCAGGAAGCGCUGAGGAGCUGAUGCCUUAAGAACGACCUUCAGCCAAUGAUGGGAAGGACUGAAGGUUGAGUGCAGCAGACUCCUUUCCUCAGGAGGCACAGCUCUGUGGCCUGGGCUCCACAGGGUCCUCUGGAGUUCUCUGCCUGAGCCCCGCUGUCCACAGCAGUGAUUGGCUCUUUAAUACGCAGUGUCUUCUCUCUCCUCCCUCUGCCUCUCCACCCUUCUCAACUGCACUUUCUGGGUUCAUCUCCUGAAUAAACACUUGUGCUAAU
rnacentral:lncRNA from 1 species